rnacentral:rRNA from 1 species
UACAGAGGUCCCAAGCGUUGUUCGGAUUCACUGGGCGUAAAGGGUGCGUAGGUGGCUGGGAAAGUUUGAUGUGAAAGCUCAGGGCUCAACCCUGAAAUGGCAUUGAAUACUACUUAGCUGGAGGUUUGGAGGGGGGACUGGAAUUCUCGGUGUAGCAGUGAAAUGCGUAGAUAUCGAGAGGAACACCAGUGGCGAAGGCGAGUCCCUGGACAACACCUGACACUGAGGCACGAAAGCGUGGGGAGCAAAC